GUGAAAGGGUCGUUCGACCUCCAAGGGGUUGCGACCCACAGGUUGAGAACCGCUGCAUUAGACUGUAGUGACCAGAGCGAUGAGCACAGCAGAGCCAGGGACCAACCGGGGCAAGGAGGUGGCCACAAGGCAGGAACGCAGGCUGGCUGCGGGCCGGGACCUUGUUCAGGGACCCGGGAGAGCAGCUCAGCUCUGGGCCCUUGGGGAUCGACUGGCGGUCAGGCCGGGGAGGAGACCAGGACAAGGGUCCGCGGGGACAGGACAACUCCUGAACCCGGUCAGGGCUGUGGGGAUAGAAGGGAAGGGAGGCAGAGAGAGGGAACGGGAGGAAAAGGGCUGGGGACUGGCCUGGGAGCUCAGGGGACACAGUGAAGAGAGUUGUUCGUCAGUGAAUCAUUCAGCAAACACAGCCAAGCACUUACCACACGCCCGGAAUUUAACACACCUUCUGUAACCCUCACACCACCCUCGAGGACCCCUAGCUCCACUCACCCGCCCAUUCAUUCAUUUCACAACUGACUCCUGAGGGCACCGUAACCUAGUAUUCACAAGGCAAGAAUCUGCCCUCAGAGUUGAUACUCUAGAGCCCAGGUUGGCACACUCCAGCCCAGGGGCCAGCUCUGUCAGCCAGCUGUUUUGUAAAUAAAACUUUAUUGGAACAUAGCCACUGUUCUGCUCCAAGAGUGGGCUAGAACAGUUAGGACAGAGACCGUGUGGCUCACAGAGCGGAAAAUGUUUACUACCUGGCCCUUUAAGGAAAAGUCUGAUGCCCCCUGAUUGGGGGAA